AUGCUGUGACGAAUCAAACUUCAACACAUCAUUCUUACUGUGAAGUGAAGAAACUAUAAUGCUGAGCAUA